rnacentral:tRNA from 1 species
GUCGGGAUAGCUCAGCUGGUAGAGCAGAGGACUGAAAAUCCUCGUGUCUCCAGUUCAAAU